rnacentral:sRNA from 1 species
UUGAGCGCUAGAAGGGCUCGAGGAUUGAGACGGGCGCCGGCCGGUGUCCGACGUCCGCUCGUAUCCAUCUUGCUCCAAGGAGGAUUUGGCUAUGAGAG